rnacentral:rRNA from 1 species
AGUGGGGAAUUUUNNNNNNUGGGCGCAAGCCUGAUCCAGCAAUGCCGCGUGCAGGAAGAAGGCCUUCGGGUUGUACACUGCUUUUGUACGGAACGAAACGGUCUGGGUUAAUACCCUGGGCUAAUGACGGUACCGUAAGAAUAAGCACCGGCUAACUAUGUGCCAGCAGCCGCGGUAAUACGUAGGGUGCAAGCGUUAAUCGGAAUUACUGGGCGUAAAGCGUGCGCAGGCGGUUUUGUAAGACAGGCGUGAAAUCCCCGGGCUCAACCUGGGAAUUGCGCUUGUGACUGCAAGGCUGGAGUGCGGCAGAGGGGGAUGGAAUUCCGCGUGUAGCAGUGAAAUGCGUAGAUAUGCGGAGGAACACCGAUGGCGAAGGCAAUCCCCUGGGCCUGCACUGACGCUCAUGCACGAAAGCGUGGGGAGCAAACAGGAUUAGAUACCCUGGUAGUCCACGCCCUAAACGAUGUCAACUGGUUGUUGGGUCUCUUCUGACUCAGUAACGAAGCUAACGCGUGAAGUUGAUCGCCUGGGGAGUACGGCCGCAAGGUUG